UACGGAGGGUGCGAGCGUUGUCCGGAAUCAUUGGGCGUAAAGGGCGCGUAGGUGGCCUGCUAAGCGUGCGGUGAAAGCUCGGGGCUCAACCCCGAGUCGGCCGUGCGAACUGGUGGGCUUGAGCACUGUAGAGGCAGGCGGAAUUCCGGGUGUAGCGGUGGAAUGCGUAGAGAUCCGGAAGAACACCGGUGGCGAGGGCGGCCUGCUGGGCAGUAGCUGACACUGAGGCGCGACAGCGUGGGGAGCAAACAGG
rnacentral:rRNA from 1 species